rfam:Solanum tuberosum cultivar DM 1-3 516 R44 scf00114_6, whole genome shotgun sequence.
AAGUAUUCAAUAGGGGCAACUUGAGAUCACAUGUUGUCAUUUUUCUUUUUUAGUUUGAUGAUUUGUAUCUCAACAUGUGUUCUCAGGUCGCCCCUGUCGAAUUAUU